UACGGAGGGUGCAAGCGUUGUCCGGAUUUAUUGGGUUUAAAGGGUGCGUAGGCGGCUUAGUAAGUCCGUGGUGAAAUCCAACAGCUCAACUGUUGAACUGCCAUGGAUACUGCUAGGCUUGAGUACAGACGAGGUAGGCGGAAUGGAUAGUGUAGCGGUGAAAUGCAUAGAUACUAUCCAGAACACCGAUUGCGUAGGCAGCUUACUAGGCUGUAACUGACGCUGAGGCACGAAAGCGUGGGGAGCGAACAGG
rnacentral:rRNA from 1 species